UGCAAGUCGAACGAGAUCUUCGGGUCUAGUGGCGCACGGGUGCGUAACGCGUGGGAAUCUGCCCUUUGGUUCGGAAUAACAGUUGGAAACGACAGCUAAUACCGGAUGAUGACGAAAGUCCAAAGAUUUAUCGCCAGAGGAUGAGCCCGCGUAGGAUUAGCUAGUUGGUGUGGUAAAGGCGCACCAAGGCGACGAUCCUUAGCUGGUCUGAGAGGAUGAUCAGCCACACUGGGACUGAGACACGGCCCAGACUCCUACGGGAGGCAGCAGUGGGGAAUAUUGGACAAUGGGCGAAAGCCUGAUCCAGCAAUGCCGCGUGAGUGAUGAAGGCCUUAGGGUUGUAAAGCUCUUUUACCCGGGAUGAUAAUGACAGUACCGGGAGAAUAAGCUCCGGCUAACUCCGUGCCAGCAGCCGCGAUAAUACGGAGGGAGCUAGCGUUGUUCGGAAUUACUGGGCGUAAAGCGCACGUAGGCGGCUUUGUAAGUUAGAGGUGAAAGCCUGGAGCUCAACUCCAGAACUGCCUUUAAGACUGCAUCGCUUGAAUCCAGGAGAGGUGAGUGGAAUUCCGAGUGUAGAGGUGAAAUUCGUAGAUAUUCGGAAGAACACCAGUGGCGAAGGCGGCUCACUGGA
rnacentral:rRNA from 1 species